UAUCUUACCUGGCAGGGAGCACCACGAUCAGGAAAGUGUUUCCCUAGAGUGAGGCUGCUCAUCCACUGAACUAAGGAUGUGCUGACCCCGGAGAUUUCCCCAAAGGCAGAAAACGUGAGCAAAUGAUUGAUGGUAGUAGAGGACUGUGUUCACACUCUGACCUGAA